rnacentral:rRNA from 1 species
UACAGAGGGUGCGAGCGUUAAUCGGAAUUACUGGGCGUAAAGCGCGCGUAGGCGGCCCGCUAAGUCGAACGUGAAAUCCCCGAGCUCAACUCGGGAACUGCGUCCGAUACUGGUGGGCUUGAAUCCGGGAGAGGGAUGCGGAAUUCCAGGUGUAGCGGUGAAAUGCGUAGAUAUCGGGAGGAACACCAGUGGCGAAGGCGACUACCUGGCCUGUUCUUGACGCUGAGGCGCGAAAGCUAGGGGAGCAAACGGG